rnacentral:rRNA from 1 species
UAAACCGUACUGAAAACCGACACAGGUGGUCAGGUAGAGAAUACUCAGGCGCUUGAGAGAACUCGGGUGAAGGAACUAGGCAAAAUAGCACCGUAACUUCGGGAGAAGGUGCGCUGGCGUAGGUUGUAGGAGUAUACCUCCGAAGGCUGAACCAGUCGAAGAUACCAGCUGGCUGCAACUGUUUAUUAAAAACACAGCACUCUGCAAACACGAAAGUGGACGUAUAGGGUGUGAUGCCUGCCCGGUGCUGGAAGGUUAAUUGAUGGUGUAAUCGAAAGAGAAGCUCCUGAUCGAAGCCCCAGUAAACGGCGGCCGUAACUAUAACGGUCCUAAGGUAGCGAAAUUCCUUGUCGGGUAAGUUCCGACCUGCACGAAUGGCAUAAUGAUGGCCAGGCUGUCUCCACCCGAGACUCAGUGAAAUUGAAAUCGCCGUGAAGAUGCGGUGUACCCGCGGCUAGACGGAAAGACCCCGUGAACCUUUACUAUAGCUUGACACUGAACAUUGAAUUUUGAUGUGUAGGAUAGGUGGGAGCCUAAGAAGCAGUCACGCCAGUGAUUGUGGAGGCGUCCUUGAAAUACCACCCUUUAACGUUUGAUGUUCUAACGAAGAUUGCGAAACGCGGUCUCGGACAGUGUCUGGUGGGUAGUUUGACUGGGGCGGUCUCCUCCCAAAGAGUAACGGAGGAGCACGAAGGUUUGCUAAUCACGGUCGGACAUCGUGAGGUUAGUGCAAUGGUAUAAGCAAGCUUAACUGCGAGACAGACAAGUC